rnacentral:rRNA from 1 species
CAAUAGCGUAUAUUAAUGUUGUUGCAGUUAAAAAGCUCGUAGUUGGAUUUCUGGUGGAAGCGACCGGUCCGCCCCUCACGGGGUGUGCACUAGCGUCUGUCUUUUGCCAUCCUUGCGAAGAAGCGGUGUGGCAUUAAGUUGUCGCGCCGUCUGACUCGCAUCGUUUACUGUGAAAAAAUUAGAGUGUUUAAAGCAGGCAAUUGCUGUGAAUACAUUAGCAUGGAAUAAUAAGAUAGGACUUUGGUACUAUUUUGUUGGUUUGCAUAUCAAAGUAAUGAUUAACAGGGACAGUUGGGGGUAUUCGUAUUUCGUUGUCAGAGGUGAAAUUCUUGGAUUUAUGAAAGACGAACUACUGCGAAAGCAUUUACCAAGGAUGUUUUCAUUA